GCUCGCUCGGGCUCGGCGCGGACCCGCCCGGGCGCACUCCUCCCAGUGGCUCUCGGCGUCCCGGCGUCCCGCCGCCCUGCCCGGAGCCGGCCGCGGUCCCCUCUACCCCUGAGGGCACUCCCGGCACCCAGCACAGAGGCUCGCCCGGGGAGGUCGCGACGGGAGGCUGGCCCGCGGUGGCCCGCGGCUCGCCUACCCGCAGGUGUUCCUUUGAUACAGUGGAUGGUGACUCUGCUGUUCUGCCUGGGAGUGGUUCAAAAUAUACCGAAUCCGAGGAAGGCCCUGAAGGUCCAGUAACUUUGCCCUAGGGACACAGGUGAAUCUUAGGAAGAGCCCUGGAGGGCAGCUGCCAGCCGAAGGGCAGGGCGGGGCGCUGUUUUCGCCAUGACCACCUGAUCUCUUCUCGGCUCUUCUUGGUGUGCACGACUGCUCCACUCGUCCGCGUUAACUCUCAUGAUGUGUUUGGGAUGCGCUCCCCCUCUUUGUAGGACUGAGUCAGGGAGAUGUUCUCCCUCCUCGGAGGAUUCCAUUCUGAGCCCAGUCGCCUUAGUAGAUGCGGGAGCUACUCCACGUGGCCUUUGAGGUCUGGGUACCCUGGGCAAAUUGAGAGGGAGGGGGUCUUGGCAGAGUAACCACUCAGAACUCAAGGUAAGAACCGUCCAUCUCUGGUUUUUGUGUUUGGCAGUAGAGGCAUGGGAACCCCUGCAUUCCUCGCAUGUGAGUAUCAGGACUUGAGGAAAAAUCUGUACUCAGAACUUGGUUGCCAGUGGGGAGGGGGGAGGGGGGAGGUAGAGGUAGGGGAUUAAGAGGUACAAACUGUUGGGUAUAAAAUGAGCUACAAGAGGCGUUCCCUUCGUGGCUCAGCAGUUAAUGAACAUGACUAGGAUCCAUGAGGAUGUGGGUUUGAUCCCUGGCCUCGCUCAGUGGGUUAAGGAUCUGGCUUAGGUGUAGAUCACAGAUGCAGCUCCAAUCCCGUGCUGCUGUGGCUGUGGUGUCAGCUGGCAGCUCUAGCUCUGAUUCUACCCCUAGCCUGGGAACUUCCAUAUGCCGUGGAUGUGGCCCUAAAAAGACAAAAAUAAGCUAGAAGGAUAUAUUGUACAAUAUGGGGAAUAUGGCACAUAUUUUAUAUAUAUUUCAAAAUUGCAAAUCACUAUAUUGCACACCUCUAGGAGUUCCCACUGUGGUGCAAUGGGAUCGGUGGUGUCCCGGAGCACCAGGACACAGGUUUGAUCCCCAGCCCAGCACAGUGGGUUAAGGAUCCAGCACUGCCGCAACUGUGGCACAGAUUCAAUCCCUGGCCUGGGAACUCCAUACAUGGGGUGGCCAAAAAAGAAAACAAAAUAAAAACCUAUACUUAUAAAAAGGAAAAGAAAAA
rnacentral:lncRNA from 1 species